rnacentral:rRNA from 1 species
GGGUCAGUAGGUUGGUCGUGCCACCGGUACGUACUGGUCUCACUGAUUCCUCCUUCCUGAAGAACCGUAAUGCCAUUAAUUUGGUGUUGCGGGGAAACAGGACUGUUACUUUGAAAAAAUUAGAGUGUUUAAAGCAAGCUAACGCUUGAAUUCAUUAGCAUGGAAUAAUGGAAUAGGACGAUCGAUCCUAUUUUGUUGGUUUCUAGGAUUGACGUA